rnacentral:rRNA from 1 species
GCCAGACUCCUACGGGAGGCAGCAGUGGGGAAUAUUGGACAAUGGGGGGAACCCUGAUCCAGCGACGCCGCGUGAGUGAAGAAGUAUUUCGGUAUGUAAAGCUCUAUCAGCAGGGAAGAAAGAAAUGACGGUACCUGACUAAGAAGCCCCGGCUAACUACGUGCCAGUAGCCGCGGUAAUACGUAGGGGGCAAGCGUUAUCCGGAUUUACUGGGUGUAAAGGGAGCGUAGACGGCAUGGCAAGUCAGAUGUGAAAGCCCGGGGCUCAACCCCGGGACUGCAUUUGAAACUGUCAGGCUGGAGUGCAGGAGAGGUAAGUGGAAUUCCUAGUGUAGCGGUGAAAUGCGUAGAUAUUAGGAGGAACACCAGUGGCGAAGGCGGCUUACUGGACUGUAACUGACGUUGAGGCUCGAAAGCGUGGGGAGCAAACAGGAUUAGAUACCCCAGUAGUU